CUUUCCGCCGCUCUGGGUUCACAGCUGGACGUCGGGAGUGCUAGUUUGGAGUACGCCAUUUGAGAGUAGGCGUGAGAAGUUGCUCUGUGUGCUGAGCGUUCUAAAGGAAGGCGUCCGUUGGCCUUCGUACCCGUCUUGAUUGAGGGGGAGUUUCUCUGCACAAGCUGUCUUUGUCUUUGCCUGCCAUCCACGUAAGACGUGACUUGCUCCUCAUUGCCUUUCGCCAUGAUUGUGAGGCCUCCCCAGCCAUGUGG
rnacentral:lncRNA from 10 species